rnacentral:rRNA from 1 species
GACGAACGCUGGCGGCGUGCUUAACACAUGCAAGUCGAACGGAAAGGCCCUGCUUUUGUGGGGUGCUCGAGUGGCGAACGGGUGAGUAACACGUGAGUAACCUGCCAUUGACUUUGGGAUAACUUCAGGAAACUGGGGCUAAUACCGGAUAGGAGCUCCUGCUGCAUGGUGGGGGUUGGAAAGUUUCGGCGGUUGGGGAUGGACUGGCGGCUUAUCAGCUUGUUGGUGGGGUAGUGGCUUACCAAGGCUUUGACGGGUAGCCGGCCUGCGAGGGUGACCGGCCACAUUGGGACGGAGAUACGGCCCAGACUCCUACGGGAGGCAGCAGUGGGGAAUAUUGCACAAUGGGCGGAAGCCUGAUGCAGCAACGCCGCGUGCGGGAUGACGGCCUUCGGGUUGUAAACCGCUUUCGCCUGUGACGAAGCGUGAGUGACGGUAAUGGGUAAAGAAGCACCGGCUAACUACGUG